rnacentral:rRNA from 1 species
GUCCCUGACCAGAUCGCCCUGAACAUAUCUGAUCUGAUCUUAUCUGAUACUGGAAGCUAAGCAGGGUUGAGUCUAGUUAGUACUUGGAUGGUCUUCAAUAUUAAGGGCA